ACGGGACAUUAAAAAAAUAACCUAACUCUUCUCUCUCACACGUUUGCGCCGCUCUCUCUCUUAGUCGUCCCAAAACAGAUCUCUCUCAGCCUCACUGCACCCACUGUUGCAUCGCACCGGCGCCUCACCCAGCCUCGCACCGCCACCGACACCUCACCCCCCUCGUCGCUCGACCUCCGCCCAGCCUCACCUAGCCUCGGCGAUAUUCCUUCUGCCCUGCCGUGAAGAGCCACCACUGGAUUAGGCGAAGCCCUUACCGCCGCCGUGAAGAGCCACCACUGGAGGGGUCAACGUCGCGAAGCCCUUGCUGCCACUCUGCCUUCACCGGCUGAUCUGUCUCUGCAGGAAUUCAACCUCCGCCGUCGGAUUGAAACAAUUAAAUAGGACGCCGUCGGAUUUGGUCACCAACGCUGCUGCCAAGCCCUCUGCCGCCGCCGUCGGAUUCCGCUGCCAAGCUCUCUCCCGCUGCCGUCGAAUUUUGCCGCUGCCAAUUAAUUUUUCUUCUUUAAUUUCAGUGAUUUUUCUUGUCAAUGAGCAUGUAUAUUGGGUGGCUUUUUCCAGAAAUUCUGCUACUGAAAUUCCACUGUAAAUUUUGCUUGUAGGCUUUGUCUCAAAAGCUCCGCAAGGAAUUGUAAGAUAUCUCUAUAUCUUUAUUAAUAAAACUUUCUCAUUUUGUGUGACACAAUUUUAGUUCUAAUCGAUGAUUUUGAAAUGAGAGAUAAAUUUUCAGCUUAGAUUCUUGAAACAAUAGACAAGUGUGGGGGUUUGGGGGAGAGAAGGGCUUGUUUUGCAGAUCUGAAACUGCAAGUGAUGAAGACUUUUAAUUGACAAUUGAGGAUAGCUUGGUUAAUAAAGAUUUUGGAGGUCUCUUUUGCUGCAUUAUGUGAUUUUAUCUCUGUUUUGCAAAUAAUCAAGAAUAUUGUUUCAAAGAUACAUUUGCAGCUGUGAAGUUUUCAGGUUAUUUCGUAUACAGCUAGCAUCUAAUCUCAGUGUUAAAUAAAAAUCUAGUUUUCUAUCUCAAGUGGCUAAACAGCCAUGAUCCAUAUUCCUUCUUCUAGUUCUACUGGUUUGGAUCUUUGUGUUCGUGUGUGUGUGAGAGAGAGAGAGAGAUGAGUUGAGAAACUGUGAUGGAGGUUUGAGGUUUGUUUGUGUGCAGAUAUUUGUGAAAAGUUUUAAGUCAAGUUAAUAAAUGAAAUAGCUUUUCCUAGGCCAACUCAGGGAGCAGGGAUCUCUUAUCUCUUAUGGAGGUUUGGCUCCAAUACUCGAGUCUUUGAAGCCUCUAGCAGAUAUAAGCGUGGAGAGUCAGGUCUUGUACCACACUCCAAAGUCUUCGUUUUCUUACUGGGAUGAAAAGCUGGGGAGCUAUACUUUCACUACUAAAGAUCUUCCUUUCUUUAGGGUUGAGGGAAGCACCAUGUAGAGGGUUGAGGGAAACUUAUUCAGCUCAUUUUUAGGUGAAUGGAUAAGCUCCAUAUUAGAUAUUGAGGAAUUGUUCGGUAAUGUUUUAUGUAAACUGUAUCUUUAGUUUUGAAUGGCAGCCAGAAAAGAGAUUGAUGAAAUGAGGAUAGAGUGGGCAGAGUUUGCAAGUUCGAUUGAUGAUUGAUGAUGAUGGUGUAACUUUGACACUCAAGUAACCUCAUUUGUUUGUUUUGACUCGCAUAUAUUAUGAUCAACAAUAUUUUUUUGGAUUUGAUGUAGGAUGUUUGUAUGAUGGAUACUUUUUCAAUGUAACUUGAGAAUUAUUAACGUUGAAACUAAUGAAUGACCUUUUUAUUA